GACGUAGGGCGCAAGCGUUUGUCCGGAUUUAUUGGGCGUAAAGAGCUCGUAGGCGGUUCAUUGCGUCAAUCGUGAAAUUCUGUGGCUCAACUACAGGCUUGCGGUUGAUACGGGGUGGGCUGGAGUUCGGUAGGGGAGACUGGAAUUCCUGGUGUAGCGGUGAAAUGCGCAGAUAUCAGGAGGAACACCGGUGGCGAAGGCGGGGUCUCUGGGGCCGAUACUGACGUGAGGAGCGAAAGCGUGGGGAGCGAACAGGAUUAGAAACCC
rnacentral:rRNA from 1 species